rnacentral:lncRNA from 13 species
UUUUAUUAUACAUCUUUAAAACUGAUGCUAAAUGUAGCACCAGCAUGAUUGGGUCCUAGAGUACUGACGUAGUCUUGAAUAUGCUGUUUGUUUAAAAGAGCUUCAAAACGUGUGAGAGGUAGGAAGGCACUCUUCCAUUGAACCUUAGUGUGCAUUUGAGUUUCCCUUUUUGGUUGACUCUUCUGUGUUGCUGCAUGAUGCCUCUAGUAUGAGGCGGAGACCUCCAUGUCUCGUCUCUUUCCCGCUGCCCUCCCUCGCCAGUCCUCUUCCACCCAGGGGGACAGCCCAGCAGCAACUCAGUCCGUGCUUGAUAAUCACCCACCUCCAUACCCCACAUCCAGCAAAACUCCCUGAGUAACUCACAGCCACCAACCACCAGGGUACUGAGCUUUCCUCUGUGUACUUCCAGUAUCUUCAGAUGACCAGGCCAGCAUGGUCGGACUCAGACCCUGGACAGAGGAAGAAGAUCUGGAGGAGGAAAACCUCUAUAGCACAAUCCAGAAAAGGAUGAAAAACUGGCUUCUGUGGAGCAUCUGCAAAGUCAUCAAAGACAUACCCCUAGGUAGGAAACAACUUUCCAGGUAGGACCUAAUGGGAAAGAGUUCCUAAGAGUCUUUGCCUUCAGGUUAUCCCUGCUGUUUGAGGGGCUGAAGCAGGGGGUAUGAAAUCAGAAAGAAAAUGAAAAUGUGUGCGAGGUUUGGUUUGCUCUUUUCAAAGUUUGUCAUCAUAAAGGUAGGAACUGUGUCUCUGGGCUCAGAGGGUGCUGGUGUUCAUUAGAGAUGAUCUCUGCAGUACGCCUGCUCUUUUCUGCCCAGUGAAACAUCAAAACCUUUGGCUUGGAUUAAUCAGCACUCCUUGGGAUUAUGUACAAGGGAUGUAGGGCUGGGCAUUGAGUGUCAUCUGUAAGGAAAGGAAGGAAUCUGUGGGAGCAUUUUUCUCACAGACAUUUACUUGAACUUAGAAAAAAACUCUGCUGUGUGCUAAGGGGAAAUUGAUAAUCACCCUCUAAACUUUUAAGACUUGUUAUAGCACGUUUAUAUUUCUGUCUUCUCUGUGGGUUUAAAGGGAUCUCCCAGGGGUGGAUGGCAGAGUGAAUGUUCACUCUGGGCUUGCUGGUAGGUCUCCAGUCUCCUGGCAAGGCAGAGAAGGAGUCUGACUUGAGCACAUUUGUAGCCUCCACUUCCCACCCCUACCGCAGAUUCUGAGAUGAGGCUUCUUUCUCUCAAGUUCUGUAAUUUUUGGGGAAACUAAGAGUUCCUUCCCACAGAAGAUGGCAUUACACUAUUUCCUGUCUUCAAAAAUUAGGCUUUCGUUGUUCUCUAAUAUCUCUGAUAUUUAUAAGUUAAGUUCUGGACCUAUUAUUCACAGAUUGCUAAAAGGUGUGCAGGAAAUUCCAUAGGAUAAAAUGUGCUGAUAGCAUAUAAUUCUGUCCAUGCUGUGCUAUGGAUGACAUUUUUAUCUCUGGAGGAUCCUCAUUUUACAUAAUAAGAUGCAAAACUAAGUGCGCACCCUUGAUCCAGUCUGGGGCACUUCAUUAAAGAACUGAGUUUGCUGCUGUCUGUCAUUUGCUUUUCUUCAUGAGACC